rnacentral:rRNA from 1 species
GUGCCAGCAGCCGCGGUAAUACGUAGGGUGCGAGCGUUAAUCGGAAUUACUGGGCGUAAAGCGUGCGCAGGCGGUUUUGUAAGCCAGAUGUGAAAUCCCCGAGCUUAACUUGGGAACUGCAUUUGGGACUGCAAGGCUAGAGUACGGCAGAGGGGGGUAGAAUUCCUGGUGUAGCAGUGAAAUGCGUAGAUAUCAGGAGGAAUACCGAUGGCGAAGGCAGCCCCCUGGGUCGAUACUGACGCUCAUGCACGAAAGCGUGGGGAGCAAACAGGAUUAGAUACCCCAGUAGUCC